rnacentral:rRNA from 1 species
AUGAACGCUGGCGGCGUGCCUAAUACAUGCCAGUCGAGCGAACGGACGAGAAGCUUGCUUCUCUGAUGUUAGCGGCGGACGGGUGAGUAACACGUGGAUAACCUACCUAUAAGACUGGGAUAACUUCGGGAAACCGGAGCUAAUACCGGAUAAUAUUUUGAACCGCAUGGUUCAAAAGUGAAAGACGGUCUUGCUGUCACUUAUAGAUGGAUCCGCGCUGCAUUAGCUAGUUGGUAAGGUAACGGCUUACCAAGGCAACGAUGCAUAGCCGACCUGAGAGGGUGAUCGGCCACACUGGAACUGAGACACGGUCCAGACUCCUACGGGAGGCAGCAGUAGGGAAUCUUCCGCAAUGGGCGAAAGCCUGACGGAGCAACGCCGCGUGAGCGAUGAAGGUCUUCGGAUCGUAAAACUCUGUUAUUAGGGAAGAACAUAUGUGUAAGUAACUGUGCACAUCUUGACGGUACCUAAUCAGAAAGCCACGGCUAACUACGUG